rnacentral:rRNA from 1 species
AUUGAACGCUGGCGGCAUGCCUUACACAUGCAAGUCGAACGGCAGCACGGGUGCUUGCACCUGGUGGCGAGUGGCGAACGGGUGAGUAAUACAUCGGAACGUACCUUAUCGUGGGGGAUAACGCAGCGAAAGCUGUGCUAAUACCGCAUACGCCCUGAGGGGGAAGGCGGGGGAUCGAAAGACCUCGCGCGAUUAGAGCGGCCGAUGCCUGAUUAGCUUGUUGGUGGGGUAAAAGCCCACCAAGGCGACGAUCAGUAGCUGGUCUGAGAGGACAGUCAGCACCACGGGGACUGAUACAAGGCCCAGACUCCUACGGGAGGCAGCAGUGGGGAAUUUUGGACAAUGGGGGCAACCCUGAUCCAGCAAUGCCGCGUGAGUGAAGAAGGCCUUCGGGUUGUAAAGCUCUUUUGUCAGGGAAGAAACACCGGCUCUAACACAGUCCGGGAAUGACGGUACCUGAAGAAUAAGCACCGGCUAACUACGUGCCAGCAGCCGCCGUAA